UACGUAGGGUGCGAGCGUUGUCCGGAAUUAUUGGGCGUAAAGAGCUCGUAGGCGGUCUGUCGCGUCGAUCGUGAAAACUUGGGGCUUAACCCUGAGCUUGCGGUCGAUACGGGCAUGACUGGAGUUCGGCAGGGGAGACUGGAAUUCCUGGUGUAGCGGUGAAAUGCGCAGAUAUCAGGAGGAACACCGGUGGCGAAGGCGGGUCUCUGGGCCAUUACUGACGCUGAGGAGCGAAAGCGUGGGGAGCGAACAGG
rnacentral:rRNA from 1 species